rnacentral:rRNA from 1 species
UACGUAGGUGGCAAGCGUUGUCCGGAGUUAUUGGGCGUAAAGCGCGCGCAGGCGGUGCGGUAAGUCUCUGGUGAAAGCGCUCGGCUUAACUGGGCGAGGGCCGGGGAGACUGCCACGCUGGAGGGGAGCAGAGGCGAGUGGAAUUCCGGGUGUAGUGGUGAAAUGCGUAGAGAUCCGGAGGAACACCAGUGGCGAAGGCGGCUCUCUGGAACGCAACUGACGCUGAGACGCGAAAGCGUGGGGAGCAAACAGG